rnacentral:rRNA from 1 species
AGAGUUUGAUCAUGGCUACAGGACGAACGCUGGCGGCGUGCUUAACACAUGCAAGUCGAACGGUAAGGCCCUUCGGGGUACACGAGUGGCGAACGGGUGAGUAACACGUGGGUGAUCUGCCCUGCACUUCGGGAUAAGCCUGGGAAACUGGGUCUAAUACCGGAUAGGACCAUGGACUUCACGGUUUGUGGUGGAAAGCUUUUGCGGUGUGGGAUGGGCCCGCGGCCUAUCAGCUUGUUGGUGGGGUAAUGGCCUACCAAGGCGACGACGGGUAGCCGGCCUGAGAGGGUGUCCGGCCACACUGGGACUGAGAUACGGCCCAGACUCCUACGGGAGGCAGCAGUGGGGAAUAUUGCACAAUGGGCGCAAGCCUGAUGCAGCGACGCCGCGUGAGGGAUGACGGCCUUCGGGUUGUAAACCUCUUUCAAUAGGGACGAAGCGCAAGUGACGGUACCUAUAGAAGAAGCACCGGCCAACUACGUG